rnacentral:rRNA from 1 species
AAACUAACAAGGAUUCCCCUAGUAGCGGCGAGCGAAGCGGGAAAAGCUCAAAUUUGUAAUCUGGCGUCUUCGACGUCCGAGUUGUAAUCUCGAGAAGUGUUUUCCGUGAUAGACCGCAUACAAGUCUCUUGGAACAGAGCGUCAUAGUGGUGAGAACCCAGUACACGAUGCGGAUGCCUAUUACUUUGUGAUACACUUUCGAAGAGUCGAGUUGUUUGGGAAUGCAGCUCAAAUUGGGUGGUAAAUUCCAUCUAAAGCUAAAUAUUGGCGAGAGACCGAUAGCGAACAAGUACCGUGAGGGAAAGAUGAAAAGCACUUUGGAAAGAGAGUUAACAGUACGUGAAAUUGUUGGAAGGGAAACACAUGCAGUGAUACUUGCUAUUCGGGGCAACUCGAUUGGCAGGCCCGCAUCAGUUUUCCGGGGCGGAAAAGCAUAGAGAGAAGGUAGCAGUUUCGGCUGUGUUAUAGCUCUUUAUUGGAUUCGCCCUGGGGGAUUGAGGAACGCAGCGUGCUUUUUGCAUGAGCUUCGGCUUAUCCACGCUUAGGAUGCGGGUUUAUGGCUGUAUAU